GACGAACGCUGGCGGCGUGCUUAACACAUGCAAGUCGAACGGAAAGGCCCUGCUUGCAGGGUACUCGAGUGGCGAACGGGUGAGUAACACGUGGGUGAUCUGCCCUGCACUUCGGGAUAAGCCUGGGAAACUGGGUCUAAUACCGGAUAGGAGCCAUUUUUAGUGUGAUGGUUGGAAAGUUUUUUCGGUGUAGGAUGAGCUCGCGGCCUAUCAGCUUGUUGGUGGGGUAAUGGCCUACCAAGGCGGCGACGGGUAGCCGGCCUGAGAGGGUGGACGGCCACAUUGGGACUGAGAUACGGCUCAGACUCCUACGGGAGGCAGCAGUGGGGAAUAUUGCACAAUGGGCGCAAGCCUGAUGCAGCGACGCCGCGUGGGGGAUGACGGCCUUCGGGUUGUAAACUCCUUUCGCUAGGGACGAAGCUUUUUGUGACGGUACCUAGAUAAGAAGCACCGGCUAACUACGUG
rnacentral:rRNA from 1 species